rnacentral:lncRNA from 1 species
ACUUUCUGUCAACCAAACAAGUUCUUAAUGAUCAAUUAAGCUUUCUUAUUUUAUUACUAAGUUUUUGGAUUGCCCUUUUCUUGGAUUCUCCUAAUCCUCUAUAGCUAUUGUCUUAAUACUUUAGCCAUCUCUUACCAUAUUAUAUUGAUUUUUGAUCUAGAAUCCAUUUCUUUCUUUCAACAUUCUAUCCUUAAAAAUAAUUUAUUUCUCUUCUUGCAAAUUUCUUUACUAGUUCUAUCCUUAUUUUUCAAAUCAUCAAAAAAUAUCUUUCAAGAAGAG